rnacentral:rRNA from 1 species
GAUGAACGCUGGCGGCGUGCCUAACACAUGCAAGUCGAACGGAGAUUACGGACGGAAGUUUUCGGAUGGAAGCCUGUAAUUCUUAGUGGCGGACGGGUGAGUAACGCGUGGGCAACCUGCCCUAUACAGGGGGAUAGCAGCUGGAAACGGCUGGUAAGACCGCAUAAGUCGGUUAAAUCGCAUGAUUUGAUCGGGAAAUGAGCAAUCAGGUAUAGGAUGGGCCCGCGUCCGAUUAGCCAGUUGGCAGGGUAAAAGCCUACCAAAGCGACGAUCGGUAGCCGGACUGAGAGGUCGGACGGCCACAUUGGGACUGAGACACGGCCCAAACUCCUACGGGGGGCAGCAGUGGGGGAUAUUGCACAAUGGAGGAAACUCUGAUGCAGCGACGCCGCGUGAGUGAAGAAGUAUUUCGGUAUGUAAAGCUCUAUCAGCAGGGAAGAUGAUGACGGUACCUGACUAAGAAGCCCCGGCUAACUACGUG